UACGUAGGGUGCAAGCGUUAAUCGGAAUUACUGGGCGUAAAGCGUGCGCAGGCGGUUAUGCAAGACAGAUGUGAAAUCCCCGGGCUCAACCUGGGAACUGCAUUUGUGACUGCAUGGCUAGAGUGCGGCAGAGGGGGAUGGAAUUCCGCGUGUAGCAGUGAAAUGCGUAGAUAUGGGGAGGAACACCGAUGGCGAAGGCAAUCCCCUGGGCCUGCACUGACGCUCAUGCACGAAAGCGUGGGGAGCAAACAGG
rnacentral:rRNA from 1 species